AACCAUAGAAACCUGCGGAGUACCUGCGGAGGGAUCAUUACCGAGUUUACAACUCCCAAACCCCUGUGAACAUACCUAUACGUUGCCUCGGCGGAUCAGCCCGCGCCCUGUAAAAAGGGACGGCCCGCCCGAGGACCCUAAACUCUGUUUUUAGUGGAACUUCUGAGUAAAACAAACAAAUAAAUCAAAACUUUUAACAACGGAUCU
rnacentral:misc_RNA from 1 species